GACGUAGGAUGCAAGCGUUGUCCGGAUUUAUUGGGCGUAAAGAGUUCGUAGGUGGUUCGUUAAGUCUGAUGUUAAAGACUGGGGCUCAACCCUGGAAGUGCAUUGGAUACUGGCGGACUUGAGUGUGGUAGAGGCAAUCGGAAUUCCAGGUGUAGCGGUGAAAUGCGUAGAUAUCUGGAAGAACACCGGUGGCGCAAGCGGAUUACUGGGCCAUAACUGACACUGAGGAACGAAAAGCUAGGGGAGCGAAUGGG
rnacentral:rRNA from 1 species